rnacentral:rRNA from 1 species
GCCAAUGCAUGCUUUUACAGUAUGAAAAUUGGUGAUUUAUAAUAACUUAGCAAAUCGCAUAGUGAAAACAGGCGAUAAAUCAUUCAAGUUUCUGACCUAUCAGCUUUCGACGGUAUGGUAUUGGCUUACCGUGGCAGUGACGGUUAACGGGGGAUUAGGGUUCGAUUCCGGAGAGGGAGCCUGAGAAACGGCUACCACAUCUAAGGAAGGCAGCAGGCGCGCAAAUUACCCAAUUCUAACAGUUUGAGAGAGGUAGUAACAAGAAAUAACAAUACAAGGCAGUUAAAAUGCUUUGUAAUUGGAAUGAUAGAAAUUUAAACCCUUUUUAAAGUAUCAAUUGGAGGGCAAGUCUGGUGCCAGCAGCCGCGGUAAUUCCAGCUCCAAUAGCGUAUAUUAAAAUUGUUGCAGUUAAAAAGCUCGUAGUUGAAGUUCUGCUAAAAGUAACCGGUCUGCUUUGAAUAAAAGUGGUAUCUUGGUAUGUAUUUAGCAAUGAUGUCCUUUGAAGUGUUUUUUACUUUAUUGUAAUAAAGCAUAUUCAGGACUUUUACUUUGAG